rnacentral:rRNA from 1 species
GAUGAACGCUGGCGGCGUACCUAAUACAUGCAAGUCGAGCGAACAGAUGAGGAGCUUGCUCCUCUGACGUUAGCGGCGGACGGGUUAGUAACACGUGGAUCACCUACCUAUAAGACUGGGAUAACUUCGGGAAACCGGAGCUAAUACCGGAUAAUAUAUUGAACCGCAUGGUUCAAUAGUUAAAGACGGUUUUGCUGUCACUUAUAGAUUGAUCCGCGCCGCAUUAGCUAGUUGGUAAGGUAACGGCUUACCAAGGCGACGAUGCGUAGCCGACCUGAGAGGGUGAUCGGCCACACUGGAACUGAGACACGGUCCAGACUCCUACGGGAGGCAGCAGUAGGGAAUCUUCCGCAAUGGGCGAAAGCCUGACGGAGCAACGCCGCGUGAGUGAUGAAGGUCUUCGGAUCGUAAAACUCUGUUAUUAGGGAAGAACAAAUGUGUAAGUAACUAUGCACGUCUUGACGGUACCUAAUCAGAAAGCCACGGCUAACUACGUG